UAGCUAGUUAGCUGGAGAGAAAGUUAGCACUCCACAUGAUAAGGUUAUAAGUGUUCCUGGUGGCCUGUACCACUUGUGUAGUUAUGGCACUGCCAUUUAUUUUGUGACAUCUAACUACAUUGAGUC